rnacentral:rRNA from 1 species
CGUGUAGGCGGUCAGGUUAGUGGGACGUGAAAUGCCCCGGCUCACCCGGGGACCUGCGUCCCAAACUGCCUGGCUUGAGUAUGGGAGAGGAUGUGGGAAUUCCUGGUGUAGCGGUGAAAUGCGUAGAUAUCAGGAGGAACACCGGUGGCGAAGGCGCACAUCUGGCCCAAUACUGACGCUGAGGCGCGAAAGCUAGGGGAGCAAACG